rnacentral:rRNA from 1 species
UACGGGGGGGGCAAGCGUUGUUCGGAAUUACUGGGCGUAAAGGGUCCGUAGGUGGCCAACUAAGUCAGACGUGAAAUUCCUCAGCUUAACUGGGGAACUGCGUCUGAGACUGGAUGGCUCGAGUGCAGGAGAGGAAUGCGGAAUUCCAGGUGUAGCGGUGAAAUGCGUAGAUAUCUGGAGGAACACCGGUGGCGAAGGCGGCAUUCUGGACUGCAACUGACACUGAACGACGAAAGCCAGGGGAGCAAACGGG